CAUGCAGUCGAACGAGGUAAAUAAGAUGAAGUUUUCGGAUGGAUUCUUAUUUACCGAGUGGCGGACGGGUGAGUAACGCGUGGGUAACCUGCCUCAUACAGGGGGAUAACGGUUAGAAAUGACUGCUAAUACCGCAUAAGCGCACAGUACCGCAUGGUACGGUGUGAAAAACUCCGGUGGUAUGAGAUGGACCCGCGUCUGAUUAGCUAGUUGGUGGGGUAACGGCCCACCAAGGCGACGAUCAGUAGCCGACCUGAGAGGGUGACCGGCCACAUUGGGACUGAGACACGGCCCAGACUCCUACGGGAGGCAGCAGUGGGGGAUAUUGCACAAUGGAGGAAACUCUGAUGCAGCGACGCCGCGUGAGUGAAGAAGUAUUUCGGUAUGUAAAGCUCUAUCAGCAGGGAAGAAAAUGACGGUACCUGACUAAGAAGCCCCGGCUAACUACGUGCCAGCAGCCGCGGUAAUACGUAGGGGGCAAGCGUUAUCCGGAUUUACUGGGUGUAAAGGGAGCGUAGACGGCGAUGCAAGUCUGAAGUGAAAUACCCGGGCUCAACCUGGGAACUGCUUUGGAAACUGUGUUGCUAGAGUGCUGGAGAGGUAAGCGGAAUUCCUAGUGUAGCGGUGAAAUGCGUAGAUAUUAGGAAGAACACCAGUGGCGAAGGCGGCUUACUGGACAGUAACUGACGUUGAGGCUCGA
rnacentral:rRNA from 1 species